rnacentral:tRNA from 1 species
ACAACUCAGUCAGCAGAGCAUGAGACUCUUAAUCUCAGGAUUGUGGGUUCAAGUCCCCCAUUGGGUG